ACGGAAGGCAGCAGUGGGGAAUAUUGCACAAUGGGGGAAACCCUGAUGCAGCGACGCCGCGUGAGUGAAGAAGUAUUUCGGUAUGUAAAGCUCUAUCAGCAGGGAAGAAAAUGACGGUACCUGACUAAGAAGCCCCGGCUAACUACGUGCCAGCAGCCGCGGUAAUACGUAGGGGGCAAGCGUUAUCCGGAUUUACUGGGUGUAAAGGGAGCGUAGGCGGCACGGCAAGCCAGAAGUGAAAACCCAGGGCUUAACUCUGGGAUUGCUUUUGGAACUGUCGAGCUAGAGUGCAGGAGAGGUAAGUGGAAUUCCUAGUGUAGCGGUGAAAUGCGUAGAUAUUAGGAGGAACACCAGUGGCGAAGGCGGCUUACUGGACUGUAAAUGACGCUGAGGCUCGAAAGCGUGGGGAGCAAACAGGAUUAGAUACCCUGGUA
rnacentral:rRNA from 1 species